rnacentral:rRNA from 1 species
CUAGCUGGUCUGAGAGGAUGACCAGCCACACUGGAACUGAGACACGGUCCAGACUCCUACGGGAGGCAGCAGUGGGGAAUAUUGCACAAUGGGCGCAAGCCUGAUGCAGCCAUGCCGCGUGUAUGAAGAAGGCCUUCGGGUUGUAAAGUACUUUCAGCGGGGAGGAAGGUGUUGUGGUUAAUAACCGCAGCAAUUGACGUUACCCGCAGAAGAAGCACCGGCUAACUCCGUGCCAGCAGCCGCGGUAAUACGGAGGGUGCAAGCGUUAAUCGGAAUUACUGGGCGUAAAGCGCACGCAGGCGGUCUGUCAAGUCGGAUGUGAAAUCCCCGGGCUCAACCU